CCUACGGGAGGCAGCAGUGGGGAAUAUUGCACAAUGGGGGAAACCCUGAUGCAGCGACGCCGCGUGAGUGAAGAAGUAAUUCGUUAUGUAAAGCUCUAUCAGUAGGGAAGAAACUGACGUUACCUGAGUAAGAUGCCCCGGCUAACUACGUGCCAGCAGCCGCGGUAAUACGUAGGGGGCAAGCGUUAUCCGGAUUUACUGGGUGUAAAGGGAGCGUAGACGGCAGUGCAAGUCUGGAGUGAAAGGCGGGGGCUCAACCCCCGGACUGCUCUGGAAACUGUACGGCUGGAGUGCAGGGGAGGUAAGUGGAAUUCCUAGUGUAGCGGUGAAAUGCGUAGAUAUGAGGAGGAACACCAGUGGCGAAGGCGGCUUACUGGACUGUAACUGACGUUGAGGCUCGAAAGCGUGGGGAGCGAACAGGAUUAGAUACCCCAGUAGUC
rnacentral:rRNA from 1 species